rnacentral:rRNA from 1 species
CCUACGGGGUGCAGCAGUGAGGAAUAUUGGUCAAUGGACGAGAGUCUGAACCAGCCAAGUAGCGUGAAGGAUGACUGCCCUAUGGGUUGUAAACUUCUUUUAUAUGGGAAUAAAACAGGGUAUGCAUACCCUCUUGUAUGUACCAUAUGAAUAAGGAUCGGCUAACUCCGUGCCAGCAGCCGCGGUAAUACGGAGGAUCCGAGCGUUAUCCGGAUUUAUUGGGUUUAAAGGGAGCGUAGAUGGGUUGUUAAGUCAGUUGUGAAAGUUUGCGGCUCAACCGUAAAAUUGCAAUUGAUACUGGCAGUCUUGAGUACAGUUGAGGUAGGCGGAAUUCGUGGUGUAGCGGUGAAAUGCUUAGAUAUCACGAAGAACUCCGAUUGCGAAGGCAGCCUGCCGCAGCGUUACUGACGCUGAAGCUCGAAAGCGCGGGUAUCGAACAGGAUUAGAUACCCUUGUAGUC